rnacentral:rRNA from 1 species
UACCGUAGGGAGCGAGCGUUAUCCGGAUUACUGGGGGGUAAGGAGCAGGUAGGGGGUUCUGUAAGCGUGUGGUAAAGGCCUGGGGCCCAACUCCGGUAUGCCUUUCGACCUGCAAGCAUUGGGGGCUGGAGGGGAGAGUGGAAUUCCUGGGGAACGGGGGAAUUGCGUAGAUAUGAGGAGGAACACCAGUGGCGAAGGCGACUUUCUGGACAGUAACUGACGCUGAGGUACGAAAGCGUGGGGAGCAAACAGGAUUAGAUACCCUGGUAGUCCACGCUGUAAACGAUGAGCACUAGGUGUCGGGCUAGCAAUAGUUCGGUGCCGCAGUUAACGCAAUAAGUGCUCCGCCUGGGGAGUACGAUCGCAAGUGUGAAACUCAAAGGAAUUGACGGGG